GACGAACGCUGGCGGCGUGCUUAACACAUGCAAGUCGAACGGAAAGGCCCUGCUUUUGUGGGGUGCUCGAGUGGCGAACGGGUGAGUAACACGUGAGUAACCUGCCCUUGACUUUGGGAUAACUUCAGGAAACUGGGGCUAAUACCGGAUAGGAGCUCCUGCUGCAUGGUGGGGGUUGGAAAGCUUCGGCGGUUGGGGAUGGACUCGCGGCUUAUCAGCUUGUUGGUGGGGUAGUGGCUUACCAAGGCUUUGACGGGUAGCCGGCCUGAGAGGGUGACCGGACACAUUGGGACUGAGAUACGGCCCAGACUCCUACGGGAGGCAGCAGUGGGGAAUAUUGCACAAUGGGCGGAAGCCUGAUGCAGCAACGCCGCGUGCGGGAUAACGGCCUUCGGGUUGUAAACCGCUUUCGCCUGUGACGAAGCGUGAGUGACGGUAAUGGGUAAAGAAGCACCGGCUAACUACGUG
rnacentral:rRNA from 1 species